GAUGAACGCUGGCGGCGUGCUUAACACAUGCAAGUCGAACGGAAAGGCCCAAGCUUGCUUGGGUACUCGAGUGGCGAACGGGUGAGUAACACGUGGGUGAUCUGCCCUGCACUUCGGGAUAAGCCUGGGAAACUGGGUCUAAUACCGGAUAGGACCACAUUUUGGAUGGUGUGGUGGAAAGUUUUUCGGUGUGGGAUGAGCUCGCGGCCUAUCAGCUUGUUGGUGGGGUAAUGGCCUACCAAGGCGUCGACGGGUAGCCGGCCCGUGAGGGGGUAAGGCCACAUUGGGAGAGAGAGACGGGCCAGAGUCCUCCGGGGGGCAGAAGUGGGGAAUAUUGCACAAUGGGCGCAAGCCUGAGGCAGCGACGCCGCGUGGGGGAUGACGGCCUUCGGGUUGUAAACUCCUUUCGCUAGGGACGAAGCGUUUUUGUGACGGUACCUGGAGAAGAAGCACCGGCUAACUACGUG
rnacentral:rRNA from 1 species